UCCUUGGACCAAGAGCCCCUCAUUGGCAUUAAGGCCUUUGUUAUACUGUACCUAUGAUGCGUUUCAAGAUUUUUCCUACUCCUUGUAUGGUACAUGUCCGGGCUGGUUGCCUGCUGACCCACAUCCAUCACAGUCUGGUUGAUCUGGCUCCUGGUAAGGAUACUUGUCCAGUUUCCUUGUGAGGAAAAAGUCGGUGAAAUGGAGGUAUGGAGGUAGAGACUCUUAGGAGCCUCUAGUGUCACCAUCAACACUGCCAUCUAGCGGGCAGCUGCCAAAACGUCAAUUUCCACAUGUCUGGGACUCUAGUUUCUACUCCUGGUAGUACUGACCUUACCUGUUGUGGGUUGAAGUGUGGGUGGUCACUUGACCUCCACUCUUCUCAGCAGCUGUGGUGUUGGCUUGGUCAUGCAUAAAUGGACUUGUUGGAGUGGGAACCCAGUCAGACAUUUUAACUCCUUUCCUUUGGUCUUUGGAGUGAGAUAUUCCUAGACAUCAGACAACCACCACCUGCCCAGGAUUAUAAACUCUUCAAAAUCGCCUCUCCUGGAUAUUUCUCUCGUCUUAUCACUAGAAUCAAAAAUCAUCUUUAAUUAAAAUACUCAUUAAAUACACUUUUAAAUCUUUUACAUAGUCCUGUUCAGUCUUUAUUUCAGUGACUUAUUUAUAGUCAUUGCAGCUUCAAACAAAACCCAAACCUUUUAGGCCAAUGACAAAGGCCUUCCACUGGCUUGCGUCUUCCCAUCUCUACGAAUUAAAAUAAAUAAAAUAUGGA